rnacentral:rRNA from 1 species
UACGGGGGGGGCAAGCGUUGUUCGGAAUUACUGGGCGUAAAGGGCUCGUAGGCGGCCAACUAAGUCAGACGUGAAAUCCCUCGGCUUAACCGGGGAACUGCGUCUGAUACUGGUUGGCUUGAGUUUGGGAGAGGGAUGCGGAAUUCCAGGUGUAGCGGUGAAAUGCGUAGAUAUCUGGAGGAACACCGGUGGCGAAGGCGGCAUCCUGGACCAAUACUGACGCUGAGGUGCGAAAGCGUGGGGAGCGAACAGG